rnacentral:rRNA from 1 species
UACGGAGGAUCCAAGCGUUAUCCGGAUUUAUUGGGUUUAAAGGGUGCGGUAGGUGGACCUGUUAAGUCAGGGGUGAAAGACGGUAGCUCAACUAAUCGCAGUGCCCUUGAUACUGAUGGGCUUGAAUAAAACUAGAGGUAGGCGGAAUGUGACAAGGUAGCGGUGAAAUGCAUAGAUAUGUCACAGAACACCAAUUGCGAAGGCAGCUUACUAUGGUUUUAUUGACACUGAGGCACGAAAGCGUGGGGAUCAAACAGG